UACGGGGGGUGCGAGCGUUGUCCGGAAUCACUGGGCGUAAAGGGUGCGUAGGUGGCGCCGUAAGUCGGGUGUGAAAUUUCGGAGCUUAACUCCGAAACUGCAUUCGAUACUGCGGUGCUUGAGGACUGGAGAGGAGACUGGAAUUCAUGGUGUAGCAGUGAAAUGCGUAGAGAUCAUGAGGAAGACCAGUGGCGAAGGCGGGUCUCUGGACAGUUCCUGACACUGAGGCACGAAGGCCAGGGGAGCAAACGGG
rnacentral:rRNA from 1 species